rnacentral:rRNA from 1 species
GACAGAGGAGCCAAGCGUUGUCCGGACUGACUGGGCGUAAAGCGCCCGCAGGCGGCCGUGCACGUGGGGUGUGAAAGCGCUCGGCUUAACUGAGCGAGGCCAUCCCAUACGGCGCGGCUCGAGCCGUCCAGAGGCCGGUGGAAUUCCCGGUGUAGCGGUGAAAUGCGCAGAUAUCGGGGGGAACACCGGUGGCGAAGGCGGUUCUCUGGGCCUGUACUGACGCUGAGGAGCGAAAGCGUGGGGAGCGAACAGG